UAGGGAAUCUUCGGCAAUGGACGAAAGUCUGACCGAGCAACGCCGCGUGAGUGAAGAAGGUUUUCGGAUCGUAAAACUCUGUUGUUAGAGAAGAACAAGGACGUUAGUAACUGAACGUCCCCUGACGGUAUCUAACCAGAAAGCCACGGCUAACUACGUGCCAGCAGCCGCGGUAAUACGUAGGUGGCAAGCGUUGUCCGGAUUUAUUGGGCGUAAAGCGAGCGCAGGCGGUUUCUUAAGUCUGAUGUGAAAGCCCCCGGCUCAACCGGGGAGGGUCCUUGGAAACUGGGAGACUUGAGUGCAGAAGAGGAGAGUGGAAUUCCAUGUGUAGCGGUUAAAUGCGUAGAUAUAUGGAGGAACACCAGUUGCGAAGGCGGCUCUCUGGUCUGUAACUGACGCUGAGGCUCGAAAGCGUGGGGAGCAAACAGG
rnacentral:rRNA from 1 species